AAGGGUUACUGCUUUGCAGCCCACCGGGUUGUUGUGGAGAAUGAAAAUGAUCUGUCUGGGGUGGGUCUUCUUUUUGGCAGCUUUCUCGGGUGUCAGCUCCCAAAUUCAGCUGACCCAGUCUGGUGCAGAAAUCAAGAAGCCUGGAGAGUCUGUGAGAGUGACAUGUAAAAUAUCCGGCUACACGUUUACUAGCUAUUACAUUAACUGGGUACGGCAGGCUCCUGGGAAAGGACUGGAGUGGAUCGGAUAUAUUGAUCCCAGCGAUGGUGAAACUGACUAUGCCCACGCUUUCCAAGGGCGAUUCACCAUCACCAGGGACGACUCCAUAAGCACGGCCUAUCUGCAGCUGGGCAGCCUGAGAACAGAGGACUCAGCCACGUAUUACUGUGCUACGGACCUCUGCUGGAGCUCCGUUCCCGUGCCCGCGCUGGAUUUGUUUGGGGAAGUGUCUGCCUCGCGCGGCGCAGGGGGAAGGGCGGUUCUGGCGCCGGUUUUUGCUUAUGGCAGGAUGGAUUCCCGCACUGUGCUCUCGACAGUAAUAGCGGGCGGUGUCCUCGGCUUAGGCGGUCGUUGCCGAUCAGCGGUUGUUGGGGUUGUCCUGGAGAUGGUGAAGCGUCCUUGA